rnacentral:rRNA from 1 species
CUCAGAAUUGCCUUUGAAACUAGAGACUGAGUACGGAGAGGUGAGUGGAAUUCCGAGUGUAGAGAUGAAAUCGUAGAUAUUCGGAAGAACACCAGUGACGAAACGACUCACUGGCCCGUUACCGACGCUCAGGCGCGACAGCGUGGGGAGCAAACAGGAUUAGAUACCCUGAGUAGUCACGCCGUAAACGAUGGAUGCUAGCCGUUGAGUAAGCAUGCUUAUCAGUAGACGCAGCUAACGCAUUAAGCAUCCCGCCUGGGAGAGUACGGCCGCAAGAUUGAAACUCAAAGGAAUUGACGGGGGCCCGCACAAGCGGUGGAGCAUGUGGUUUAAUUCGACGCAACGCGCAGAACCUUACCAGGCCUUGACAUCCCGUGCUACCUCCUGAGAGGGAGGGUCCCCGCAAGGGGCGCGGAGACAGGUGCUGCAUGGCUGUCGUCAGCUCGUGUCGUGAGAUGUUGGGUUAAGUCCCGCAACGAGCGCAACCCUCGCCUUUAGUU